AUUGAACGCUGGCGGAAUGCUUUACACAUGCAAGUCGAACGGUAGAGGGGGCAACCCUUGAGCGUGGCGAACGGGUGAGUAAUGUAUCGGAACAUGCCCAGUCGUGGGGGAUAACGUAGCGAAAGUUACGCUAAUACCGCAUACGAUCUAUGGAUGAAAGCGGGGGAUCGCAAGACCUCGCGCGAUUGGAGUGGCCGAUAUCAGAUGAGGCAGUUGGUAGGGUAAAGGCCUAACAAGCCGACGAACUGAAGCUGGUCUGUGAGGACGACCAGGCACACUGGGACUGAGACACGGCCCAGACUUCUACGGGAGGCAGCAGUGGGGAAUUUUGGACAAUGGGCACAAGCCUGAUCCAGCCAUUCCGCGUGCAGGAAGAAGGCCUUCGGGUUGUAAACUGCUUUUGUACGGAACGAAACGCGCUGAGCUAAUACCUCGGCGUAAUGACGGUACCGUAAGAAUAAGCACCGGCUAACUACGUGCCAGCAGCCGCCGUAA
rnacentral:rRNA from 1 species